rnacentral:tRNA from 1 species
GGUUCUAUGGUGCAGUGGUUAGCACUCUGGACUCUGAAUCCAGUAAUCUGAGCUCAUAUCUUCAUAGAACCU